GUUCUGCUGGAUGUCGCUCAGAGAGAUCUGUACACCGAUGUCAUGCUGGAAAAUUAUGGGAAUUUAGCCUUCCUGGGCUGUGCUCUGGCAUUGGAGGCCAGUUCUGAGUCGCCUCUUCCUUCAGAGGGAGCGGGAAGAUCGCCUGCCCGAGCCGCACAGGUAGGGGGGAAAAGAUCGCCAGGAAGGGUCUGUGGUCUUUUGAGGAGGUGGCCUUGCAUUUCACCAAGGACGAAUGGUCACUGAUGGAUCCCGGCCAGAGAGCUUCGUACGUAGAGGUCACGGUGGAGAAUUUUGGAAACGUGGCCUCUUUGGUGCCCAGACCUAACCUCGUCACAUGUCUGGAAGAAGGGGAAGAUCCGUUUGUCCCGGAUCCUAAGAAAGAGAGAAGAGUGGCCAAUAACUUCCCAGGUAACUGCUUAAAGGAUGAACACUUGCUUGUGGGAAGAGGGUGGAUUCUGGACAUUUUUGGGAGAUGGGAAUCCUGUUGCAGUUGAGCUAGGCAGAAUUCUCUUGCACCGUGAGACCGGUCAUGGUCCAUGC